rnacentral:rRNA from 1 species
ACAUUUCUUUUUGAUUUGUUAAAAAGUAAAGUCUGCCCACUGUUUAAAAUGAAGGGCCGCGGUAUUUUGACCGUGCAAAGGUACCAUAAUCAUAAGUCCUUUGAUUGGGGAAUGGUAUGAAUGGCUAAAUGAUUUUUUUCUUUAAUUUUAGUUAAUUUAAAAAUUUUAUUUAAAGUGAAAAUACUUAAAUUUUUUAGUAAGACGAUAAGACCCUAUAGAAUUUUAAUUUUCUUUUAAUAAAAAAAUAAUAUUAAAGUUUAAAUGGGGCAUUUUUUGAAUAAAAAUAAUUUCUUAUUUUUUUGAUUUAAAUAAUCUUUUUUUAAAAAUUUUUAAAAAAUUACCUUCGGGAUUACAGCGUAAUUUUUCUUGAGAGUUCAUAUCGACAGAAUAUUUUGCGACCUCGAUGUUGAAUUAUAAUUCCUUUAUGGAGCAGAAUUUAUAUAAGGUAGUCUGUUCGACUAUAAAAAUUUUACAUGAUUUGAGU